rnacentral:lncRNA from 1 species
GUCUCUUUUGUUGGCCACUUAAGGAUCCUUUUAUGGGGGAUUUGAGAUGCUGUUUAGGUUUUCAAUUUGCUGUCCACAUGAAAGUGUGAGCUGCUGUCCAUGUGAAAGUGUUCCCACGCUUACCUUUGCACAUGUGAGGCGUGUAGCGUGUGGCUUGGUCCAUGUGUGCAAAGCGUGGGGCUGCCCUCCACUAGCUUGCUGCCCAAGUGUUUCGUGGCUGCCCUUGUGCUUCCAGCAGGCUGCCCAAGACUCAAGUUGCUGCCCUUCACUCACAUACUUUGCCGCCCAACACUAAUAAGGAAGGUGGGGCCUUCCUUCACAAUUUGGAUUUUGAAUGUGCAAGAUAUGUGGUGUGAAGCAUGUGAUCUUUGGAUUUAGCUUCCUUAAUAUACUGAAUCUUGAAAUUCAAAAAUUUGAAUAUGGAUCUUGGAGAUUUGAAUUUCAAAAUGCUUUCCUUAUUUGGCUCUUCAUUUAUGGCAACUUGUGACUUGGCUUCUUAAAUAAGGAAAAGGCUACUUGGAGAUUUGAAAUUUGAAUUUCAAAUUGCUUUGGCUGAAUGUUCUUUCCAUAUUUGCCACUUUCCUUAUUUAAAAAUUUCCUUAUUUAUCUUGACUUGAUUCCAACUUGGCUGGCUUGCUCUCUUUUGCUCCAUAUAAGGCAGUUUUAGGGGGAUUUUCUCCAAAGUGUCCUUUUACACUAUUUUCUGCAAAAUAAUAUUAAAAACACUAAAUUAAGUAGAAAUCAUGUAAAUAAUCAUUAAUAAUAUCAAUAUAAAAUGGACUAAAAUAUGCUCUAUCAAAUACCCCCACACAUUGCUUUUUGCUUGUCCUCAAGCAAAUAAACAUAGUUAAACAAGCUUUUUUACUCUAGAUCCUUAUUUCCACUUAAGCUCUUACUCUAAACACCUAUUUUGAAUCAUUGUAGUGAAGAAUAUAUGCAUCAAGGUUACUCAUCUUCUUUCCUUGUUUCCCUUUACUUACCAUGGCUAGGAUUUAUUUUCCUCAAGAGAGACCAUACAUGCACAUAUUGUUUGAUUAAGACUUUUCCUAGCUUUCAGAAUGACUUGCCCUUACCUUGAAGUACUUUAUUCAGGCUUCUGCACUUUUAUUCUUGCUUGAACAAGUCACUAACCUAUUGAUGUGGAAGUUUAGAUUUUCAGUUGGUCACUUUUCCAAGUGGCUACUAGCUCUGUUCAUGGUCUUUUGACCAUUGGAACAGUUUUUAAUUUAUGCUUUUGAGGUCUUUGCCUUUGCUAAAUUUCCUUUCUCUCAACGAUUUGGGCAAAUCAACACCAAUUGCUAGAUCAAGUCAUAUUAAGUUCAUUCACACAAUUUAAAUUUAUUCUCUCUAAUGAGGGUCAUCAAUAUAUUUUUCACCAUGGCAAGCUCAAAGAUCCAAUUCAGAAAGCAAUUCUCAAACAUGAAUAUAACUCACUGCAAUUGAUUCAACAUAAGUUUAAAGAGUUAUCACAUCAAUAGGGUCAUGGAAAGAAAGCUCAUCCAACACAGUCUAUAAGUUUGAGUAAAGCAUCUCAAAACGGAAACAAAAUAAAUAAAAAAAAACUGUGGCUAUCUGUGUAUUAUUGAAAGAAAAAAUAAAUUAAAAAAAAAAAUUAAACUGUGGCUAUUCGGAUCAAAGAAGAAAUCGCAGGAACGAGACUGAAACAAAGAAAACGCAAGACUGAAAGAAAAAUGAAAGAAAAUGCAAAAAUGGAGUUUCAGAUUUAUGCACCCCCACACCUAAAUUAUGCAUUGUCCUCAAUGUGUAGAAAAUAUUAAAAUGCAAGACAAACUGAGUACUCCCCUUGGGUAUGGAAUGCAAUCUGCGAUCUCCUAGUCUGACUGAGAUGGAUGGAGUAGUGGAAUUUCUUCCACCACUUGCACUGCAAAUCCUUCUUAAUAUGGUUUCAGACGAUGUCCAUUUACCUUGAAAAUCUUUCUAGUCUCUAUACUUCGGAUGUCUAUAGCUCCAUGGGGAUAGGCAUGUUCCACAAUGAAUGGCCCAAUCCACCUAGAUUGCAGCUUUCCUGGAAACAAUUUUGAACGAGAAUAAAAAAGUAAGACUUUAUCACCAACCUCAAAGUGUUUUCUUGAAAUCUGAUUGUCAUGGGAGGCUUUGGUUUUGGCUUUGUAGUUCCAAGAAGUCUCAUAGGCAUCUUGUCUUAUCUCUUCUAGCUCUUGCAGUUGCAAUUUGUGAUUGUGGCCAGCCUCUGUGAGAUUCAUAUUGCAACUCUUGACUGCCCAAUAGGCCUUGUGUUCGAGUUCAACUGGCAGAUGACAUGCUUUCCCAUAGACCAAUCUGUAAGGAGACAUACCUAUGGGAGUCUUGUAGGCUAUUCUGUAGGCCCAUAAAGCAUCUUCCAAUCUUGUACUCCAAUCGCUUCUGUUGGGGGAUACUGUCUUUUCAAGGAUGGCCUUGAUCUCUCUGUUGGACACUUCAGUUUGCCCAUUUGUCUGAGGGUGGUAGGCAGUGGAUGUUCUAUGUAUGACAUUAUGUUUUCUGAUAAGGUUUUCUACUACCUUAUUGCAAAAGUGAGUCCCUCUAUCACUGAUGAUUGCUUUGGGUACUCCAUGUCUGGCAAAAAUGUUGGUCUUUACAAAGUCUACUACUGCCUUGGCAUCAUCAGUUUUUGUUGCUCUACCUUCCACCCAUUUGGACACAUAAUCUACUGCAAGAAUGAUGUAGGUGUAUCCAAAAGAAGGUGGGAAUGGUUCCAUGAAGUCUAUGCCCCACACAUCAAACACCUCACAGACCAUGAUAGGAUUCUGUGGCAUUUGAUUUCUUUUGCUCAGAUUUCCAAUUUGUUGGCAUCUUGCACAUGAUCUACAAAACAAGAAAGCAUCUCGAAAAAUAGUGGGCCAAAAUAGGCCACUUUCAAGUAUUUUGUGAGCAGUCUUUCUUGGGCUAAAGUGCCCAUCACAACUGUAAGAAUGGCAAAAAGUAAGUACUGAAGCUAUUUCUUGGUCUGGGAUACAUCUCCGUAUCAUUUGAUCAGAACAGUGCUUCCACAAAUAUGGCUCAUCCCAAACAUAAUAUUUUGCAUCUUUCUUUAUUUUAUCUCUUGUGUGCUUGGGCAUAUCAGAAGGCAAGUUACUUGUGGCUAAGUAGUUUACCAUGUCUGCAUACCAUGGCUCAUCAGUCUGGGCAUGAAAAAUUUGCUCGUAGAAACCAUUCUCAACUUCCUCAGAUUCGGAAAGGGAUGUCUGUGUUGGACUCUUGUCAGAGAGGGUUUCAGGUGGCUUACCUUGCGCAGGACUGGACUCAGGGGAUCCCUUGUGGGCAAGAUUGGACUGCAGAAGAGGACUGGAAAGGCUCUCAUGCGCAGGAAGUUGAAAGGGUGCGAUGGCCUCCUCCCUUUGCGCAAGGUCCUUCUGCGCAUUCUUCUUGAGGGAGUUUCCUUCGUUCUGUGCUUGACUGCAACUCACCUGUUGGAUGCAACAGACAGUUUCUUUCAGUUUUGGCUCUGUCUGGAUUUCAUUCCUGUAAAGAUCAUCAUUCAGAAAAUCAUCUUGAUUUUUAUAAAAAAUUUCCUGGCUCAAGCAGUCAAUAAUAUCAAGACCGUAAACAGGGAACAUAUCAUGUAGAUAUUUCAUAGCAUCAUAGACAUUAAAUUUAAUCACUUCCCCUUCAAACUCCAUAGUCAAUGUACCAUCAUGCACAUCAAUUUUAGUCCUAGCAGUACUUAAGAAAGGACGUCCAAGAAGAAUAUCAGAAGUAGUGUUACAACUAUCUUCCUUAGUAUCAAUCACAUAAAAAUCUGUAGGAAAGACAAGUUCAUCUACUUGCACUAGAACAUCUUCUAGCACUCUUAUGGGAUGUACCACAGAUCUGUCAGCCAAUUGGAUGACUACUCUUGUGUCUUUUAGUGCACCUGCGUUCAAAGAAUGAUAAAUAGAAAGAGGCAUAACAUUAAUUGAUGCACCAAGAUCACACAUGGCUUUCUUAAUCCCAACAUUGCCUAUCUUGCAAGCAAUAGCAAACAUGCCUUUAUCUUUGCGCUUAGUAGGGAGUUCUCUUUUAAUAACAGCAGUCACAACCUCACCUACACUUACAUUUUCUUUUUCUACAAGCUUUCUUUUAUUAGUGCAAAGUUCUUUCAGAAAUUUAGCGUUCCUGGGAAUCUGCUUAACAGCAUCUAGCAGAGGUAUAUUGAUUUGCACUUUUUUGAAAGUAUCAAGAAUCUUCUUUUCUUAUUUUUCUUUUUGUGUUCUUUCAAAUCUCUUGGGAAAAGGAGGUGGAAUGUGAAAACUUACUUUCAGAUCAGCUCUUUGCGCAGGGGGUACUUCAGUUUGCGCAGGUGUGGCUUCCGGAGUGGAUUCUUGCGCAACAUGCUCUUCUGCAAUGGGUUCUUGCACAUGGCCCUUCCUUUCAUCUGUCUUGGCCUCUCUAAGCUCUCUUCCACUUCUCAAAGUGAUGGCACUAACAUUCUGUCUGGGGUUAGUUUCAGCUUGAGAAGGGAGCUUACCUUGUGAUUCAAGCUUGCUCAUGGAGGUGGCCAUUUGUCCCAUUUGUUGUUGGAGAGUCUGUACAGAAUUUGUCAAUGUCUCCAUCAUCUUUUCAAGGUGUUGGACAGAACUUGAAGGUGCUGGUUGGGCUUGGUUUCUUUGAUAGUUCUGAUAAUUAUUAGCCCUUCCAUAGCUCAAGUUUGGAUGGUCUCUCCAGUCAGGAUUGUAUGUGUUUGAAUAUGGAUCAUGCCUAGGCUGGUUGUAUCCUCCAAUGGCAUUAACUUGCUGGUUGUCAUCUUGAAGUGUAGGACAUUGAUUAGUGGGGUGUCCUACAUAAGCACAAAUACCACAUGGCCUAGGUGGCUGAGGUGGUGGAGCCUGUUGUGCUUGGCCUAAGACAAAAUUUUUCAUGACAGAGGUUAGUUCAGAAAGUUGAGAUGCAAUAGUAGAAGCACUUACCUCAUUGGUUCCUCUCUGCAGUUGUUUUUCUUCUCCAUAUUGCCUAGAAGAGGCUGCAAGGGUGGAAAUCAACUCUCUCAUUUCCCUAGGUGUCUUAUCUUCAAUCUUACCUCCACAGGCAACAUCAAUGAAUUUUCUUUCUGAAGAUAGCAAGCCUCCAUAAAAAAAGUCUAUGAGUGACUUAUCUGAAAUAUCAUGUUGAGGACACCCUGUACACAGUCUUUUAAAUCUUUCCCAAUAGUCAUAUAAAUCCUCAGAUGGCUUUUGCCUUAUGCUACUGAUUUCUCUUCUUAUGCCAAGAUGUAAUAGAUCCAAGUGGCAAAUAAAAUAACCAAUCUUUAGCAUAAUCAUCAAGGGAAAAAGUAAAAGCUCUCAACUUAACAUAAUCUUCAGUGACACCUUGGGGUCUCAUAGAUGAACAAACAAUAUGGAAUUCCUUCAAGUGUUUGUGUGGAUUUUCAUUUUCAAGACCUCUAAAUUUAGGGAGAAGAUGAAUCAAACCUGUUUUAAGUUCGAAAGGAACUAUCAGAGGUGGAUAAUUGAUGCAAAGUGGUGCUUGAUCACCUAUAGGUGCUGCCAACUCUCUUUGCACUGGGGGUCUUAUGGCUGGAUUUUCUUGAAUUAUUUGGUCAUGGACAGCAUGUCCAUUGUGGGCAGCAUGUUGUGGAUGUGGUUCAGCCAUGGAUGAAGAGGAAUGGUGCGAUUCAAAGGUGUUCAAAAGUGCUUCUGUGCAGGGCUCUCCUUGUGGUGCGAUUGGAGCUUCUUCCGGAGGAAUUGCUUGCUUUCCUAGUCGUCUGAGAGUGCGUUCUAUUUCCGGAUCGUAUGGCAGAGUGUCCCUACAUUCAGAUCUGGUCAUGGAAGAAAAAUAAACAAGUUAAAUCAAUUCUCCGGCAACGGCGCCAAUUUUUGACUCGCGGUUGUUGAAGCCGGUCAAAAAUAACCUUUCUGGUUACCAACAAAUUUACACUUGUAGAUAGCGGUGAAAGGAUCGAAUCCAUAGAGAAUUGAGAACUCACUUAUUUCUCUUUUUAUGACCAAGAAAAUAAACUGAAAUAAUAAUAAACUAAAAAUGAGAUAAAAACUGAAAGCGGGCUAAAACGAGAUAAACUGAAAUUGGGAUCAAAACUGUCAGCAAAGUAACAGGGGGAGUUUGGGAUUGAUUGUAGUAAACUAAUAAUCAGAACAAUAAUGGAAAGCAAAUAAUUAAAUAAAGAGUAACCAAUAAUGAGAAAGCUCUAGUUGAAGUAUUGGAUCCACUUUAGUUGUUGGGAUUAAUCACAGACACUUUGUUCUUUUGGGUUGACCCAAUAGAUUAGUUAUGGAGUUAGAAUAAGAUUCUCACUACCAUUAUCUCUCCUUAUUAUCAAAUUAAUUAGGGAACGUCCUCUAAUCAAUUAAUAAUCAACAAGUUGCCAAGGAACGUCCUUGGGCCUCAGGCAACAAACAACUGUUAAUUGCAUUAAGAAAUAGAGAGAUCCAAUCCUAGCUAUCCAAACGUAUGGAGAUAACGCUAGAUCAUGCAACUUCCUUGGUUUUUAUGCCAAGUGUUCUUAUGUAAGAAUAAUCUAAGCAAUUACGGACUUAAAUCAUUCAAAUUAAAAAAUAAUUAUUUUGCAAUAAAAAAUCAACGUAGAUCUCAAUAACAAAGUAAUAUGAAAAUUAAGUAUGAAAUUGCAUGAAUAUUGAACUCCCAAAAGUUAAACAAUGUUUGAUCAAGUCUCACAACCCAUUAAACAACUAAAGUUUCAACUAAUAUCCAACUAGAUUAAAAGAAUUCAGCCACUCAUGGCUGAAUUAAAAACAGAAAAUAAAAAGGGAAAUCAAAGAGGGAAGAAAAACCGAAGAUGGUGGUGGAGAGCCUCCUUGUGCGCCGAUCCUUACAAGAAGAGACGGUCUCUUUUGUUGGCCACUUAAGGAUCCUUUUAUAGGGGAUUUGAGAUGCUGUUUAGGUUUUCAAUUUUCUGUCCACAUGAAAGUGUGAGCUGCUGUCCAUGUGCAAGUGUUCCCACGCUUACCUUUGCACAUGUGAGGCGUGUAGCGUGUGGCUUGGUCCAUGUGUGCAAAGUGUGGGGCUGCCCUCCACUAGCUUGCUGCCCAAGUGUUUCUUGGCUGCCCUUGUGCUUCCAACAGGCUGCCCAAGACUCAAGUUGCUGCCCUUCACUCACAUACUUUGCCGCC